GAAGAGUACCGAGAGGGAAAGGUGAAAAGCACCCCUGGCGGGGAGUGAAAGAGACCUGAACCCGUGUGCCUACAAGCGAUCGGAGCAUGGCCGGCAUUUUCGGAUGCUGGGGUAUGUGACGGUAUGCCUUUUGUAAAAUGAGCCGGCGAGUUAUUGUGCGUAGCGAGGUUAAGGACUGCGAGGUCUGUAGCCGCAGGGAAACCGAGUCUGAACAGGGCGCAAGUUUCGUACAAUGGACCCGAAGCCCGACGAUCUAUCCAUGUCCAGGUUGAAGCCCCGGUGAAGCGGGGUGGAGGACCGAACCGAAGCCUGUUGAAAAAGUCUCGGAUGAGGUGUGGAUAGGAGUGAAAAGCUAAUCGAGUUGGGUGAUAGCUGGUUCUCCCCGAAAUGCAUUUAGGUGCAGCCCUGAAUGUUUAGUGAUGGGGGUAGAGCGCUGAAUGGACGCGGGCGGUUGUGACCGUACCAAAUCCAAUCAAACUGCGAAUACCAUUACUUAAGAGUUCAGGAGUGAGACUGCGGGAGAGAAGUUUCGUAGUCGAGAGGGAAAGAGCCCAGACCCACAGCUAAGGUCCCGAAGACAUGCUGAGUGUGGCAAGGAUGUGACGAUGCCUGGACAGCCAGGAGGUUGGCUUAGAAGCAGCCACCCUUUAAAGAGUGCGUAAUAGCUCACUGGUCGAGGAUUGUUGCGCCGAAAAUACAGGGGGCUAAGCAUGUCACCGAAGCUUGGGGAUUGGAUGUAAGUCCGAAUCGGUAGGGGAGCGUUCCAUGCAGGGAGAAGUCAAACCGGCGAGGUUUGGUGGACAGCAUGGAAGUGAGAAUGCCGGCAUGAGUAACGCGAAGUGUGUGAGAAUCACACUCACCGGAAGUCCAAGGGUUCCUGGGGAAGGUUGAUCCGCCCAGGGUAAGGCGGGGCCUAAGGUAAGGCCGAGAGGCGUAGCUGAUGGACAACAGGUUGCUAAUCCUGUCCCGCGAAGCGGUUGCUUGACGAUGGAGUGACGCAGGAAGCUAGGUGCGCCGGCGGAUGGAAUAGCCGGUCUAAGGGCGAAGCCUGGACGGGGAGGCAAAUCCCCCUGUUUAUAGGUGAGACCUGAUGGGGAGUUUUCAGAGAUGGAGACGAAGGCAUUGACGCUCUACUGCCGGGAAAAGCUUCUAAGGAGACCGCCCGCGCCCGUACCCGAAACCGACACAGGUGGACUGGCUGAGGAGGCUAAGGUGAGCGGGAGAACUAUCGUUAAGGAACUCUGCAAGUUGACCCCGUAACCUAGGGAGAAGGGGUGCCAUGAGGGUGAAGAAGGACAUUUGGAGCCCGAAGUGGUCGCAGAAACCAGGCACAGGCGACUGUUUACUAAAAACACAGGACUCUGCAUAAGGCGUAAGCCGAAGUAUAGGGUCUGACACCUGCCCGGUGCUGGAAGGUUAACUGGAGGGGUUAGUGCCGCGAGGUGCGAAGCUCUGAAAUGAAGCCCCAGUAAACGGCGGCCGUAACUAUAACGGUCCUAAGGUAGCGAAAUUCCUUGUCGGGUAAGUUCCGACCUGCACGAAAGGUGUAACGAUCUGUGCGCUGUCUCGACGGUAGACCCGGUGAAAUUGUGGUCCUGGUAAAGACGCCAGGUACCCGUGGUGGGACGGAAAGACCCCAUGGAGCUUUACUGUAACUUGGUAUUGGAUUUUGUCCUAUGAUGCACAGGAUAGGUGGGAGGCAUUGAGUCAGUCAUUUCGGUGAUUGAUGAGCCGUUGUUGGGAUACCACCCUUUAUAUGAUGAAAUUCUAACCCUUAGGCGUUGAAACACGCGGGGGGACAUUGCCAGGCGGGCAGUUUGACUGGGGCGGUCGCCUCCCAAAGAGUAACGGAGGCGCGCAAAGGUCACCUCAGGGCGAAUGGAAACCGCCCUAAGAGAGCGUAAGCGUAUAAGGUGGCUUGACUGCGAGACUGACGAGUCGAGCAGGGACGAAAGUCGGUGCUAGUGAUCCGGUGGUGCUGAAUGGAAGGGCCAUCGCUCAACGGAUAAAAGCUACCCUGGGGAUAACAGGCUGAUCUCGCCCGAGAGUUCCAAUCGACGGCGUGGUUUGGCACCUCGAUGUCGGCUCAUCGCAUCCUGGGGCUGAAGCAGGUCCCAAGGGUUGGUCUGUUCGCCCAUUAAAGCGGUACGUGAGCUGGGUUUAGAACGUCGUGAGACAGUUCGGUCCCUAUCCACCAUGGGCGU
rnacentral:rRNA from 1 species